rnacentral:piRNA from 1 species
CUGAGUGGGGUGCUCCUGAGGAGACUGA